ensembl:lncRNA
GUGAAACCUCUAUAUAUCACUCACUUAUCGCAACUAAAGAGCUGAACACGGGAACGUUCUGAGCACUCAAGCCUCAAAUGCAGGAGAAUACAGGAUUACUCAAACAUGCCUGAAUCAAUCAAUCAAAAAGCAAGCCAAUGAUGAGGGAUAACGUGGUUAAAAGCUCAUAAAAGUAGACUUUGUAUAAUAUGUCUCCUUGGUUGAACCUGAGAAAAACUUGAUGAGAAACGGUGGCACAUUUUCAAGUUAAUGCAAAAUAUUUUAAAUGCUACUAAACUGGCAACAUUAGAAAGUGUUUUUCAUAAUUAUCACUACUAUUUUUCUAUGAGAAUAUAUUUAGGUUGUGAGUUUGUGAAUAAUGUCCUCUUAAACCACCUAUUGCAUUCUACUGUGUCCUAGCUUUUCUAGAAUGGUUGUAUUGAAGUUUUUCACUGCAUGCUGGUGGAUAAGCAUCUCCAAACCUGUUGCACUCAGGGCUUUGGUGGGUCGCCAGAUAAUCUUAAAUCCUUCCUCUCUCCUCCCUCCUCCCGCCUCCCUCCUUUGUGUGUGUAUGUGUGUGUUCAGAUGAGCUGCUGGACUCCCCCAACAGCAGCUCUGACCUGGCAGAUGUAAUGGAGCAGAUUAACAACUCCUUCCCUGCAUGCACUCCCCCCAGUCUCUCUCCAAGACCACAGGUGAUGUGAUUAUCAGAGGGCACUGUUGUGUUUAGUGACUGUCUAAAACGGCUCGGACCAUCCUCCACCCCAGUCCAGACUCUGAAUCCCAAAGACGUCCCACGACCAGGACCGCACCCAACACUUUGUCUCGUACUAUGCAAUCUGUACCUUUCCUGGACAGUUCCACAUUUGGUAUUUGUGAUUUUGUUUUAGAAAUGCAGUACUCAGAUAUGGGGGUAUAUUUGUACAGUCCAAAAACUAUCUUUGUUUGAUCUGUUAUCUGUGCUUUGGGAUCGUGCUCCACUUAUGUUCUGGGAAUCCACUGUUACAUUUUACGUGUUUUUCCAUUGCUUUGUACUACCCAUAGUUUCCUAUCAUUUGUCAAAACUAGAAGCUACAGUCGCCGUUACCAUUCCGGAGAGAAGCUGUCGUCUGCUCUGUUUCGAAGAUAAAUCUCGUGGCAUGCUUGAUGUCAAAUCCCCCCUUUAAUGCAUUGAUAAACCGCCAAAACUUUGUCAAUUUGUUUUGUAAAACCUUUCCCUUCUGUGCCUAUACAAUUUCCAUACUACGUGGAAGAUGGAAAAAUUCAACUGUGUACAAAAGAGUAAAAGUUUUGGAGAUUAUAGAUUUAAUUAAAGCUGAUCAAUCAUUAUUUAGUUUUUAAUAUAUGUUUGGAAAUCAGAGGAAAGCCAUGAUUGCCUUGCUACCUCAGACUACGUAGACACAGUUUUGUUUGUAAGUGUUAGUGGUUUGUAGACUCCACAUGAAUAAUGGUUUUUAAGCUUAACUAUCUGUACGCGGCAUCAAGGACAAGCUAAAGAUGUACCAAGUUGUAUUACAAUGGGUCCUGCUGAAGCUAGCCUCUUCUGUUUGAGUUGUUUUAACCACUGGCCUUGGUGCACCAGUCCCUCACUGCAUUGUGUCGUCGUGCUAAAUGCUACUAUCCUGUAAAACUUGUGAGACGGACCACAGCACUACUUGUUUUGUAGUAUUAGACUGGAGAAAUAUAAACUGAGCGUAACCAAGGCAGAACUGUGUCAUCUCCUGAGGUAUGUAAAAUAGUCUGACCACACUACAUGUAAUAUGGCGACG